CCCAAUGUAACUGUCCUUGGAGACAGGGCUUUGGGAAGAUCCUGAUGGCACCGAAAGUCAUAGAGGAGUGAAGUGAUUGGUGGCUCUAUAAGCUGUAUCUACGAGGAUUGGAGCAACACCUUUAGUGCAAAGAAGCUGUGUUACCACAGGAAGAGCUCCUCCUGCCUGCCUGCCACACUUUCACACAUCUUUCAGGACUGAAUAUUCUCUGAGACGCGGGAUCCUAUUGGAUUAGAAGGACGCAGUUCCGGAGUUAGGUGGCUUUGGAGCUUACCAGCUUCAAGUGGCUCAUAAAUUCUUGAGAAGUCGGGCAUCUUUGCUGGAUCAGGAGACAUGCUUUGUAUCAGAGUGCACUGGAA
rnacentral:lncRNA from 1 species